rnacentral:rRNA from 1 species
UACGGGGGGGGCAAGCGUUGUUCGGAAUUACUGGGCGUAAAGGGCGCGUAGGCGGUUCGUCAAGUCCUGUGUGAAAUCCCCCGGCUCAACUGGGGAACUGCACAGGAAACUAGCGGGCUUGAGUUCGGGAGAGGGAAGCGGAAUUCCAGGUGUAGCGGUGAAAUGCGUAGAUAUCCGGAGGAACACCGGUGGCGAAGGCGGCUUCCUGGACCGACACUGACGCUGAGGCGCGAAAGCCAGGGGAGCAAACGGG